rnacentral:rRNA from 1 species
AACGAACGCUGGCGGCAUGCCUAACACAUGCAAGUCGAACGAGACCUUCGGGUCUAGUGGCGCACGGGUGCGUAACGCGUGGAAACCUGCCCUUAGGUUCGGAAUAACUCCCCGAAAGGGGUGCUAAUACCGGAUAAUGUCUUCGGACCAAAGAUUUAUCGCCUUUGGAUGGGCCCGCGUUUGAUUAGCUAGUUGGUAGGGUAAAAGCCUACCAAGGCGACGAUCCAUAGCUGGUCUGAGAGGAUGAUCAGCCACACUGGGACUGAGACACGGCCCAGACUCCUACGGGAGGCAGCAGUGGGGAAUAUUGGACAAUGGGCGAAAGCCUGAUCCAGCAAUGCCGCGUGAGUGAUGAAGGCCUUAGGGUUGUAAAGCUCUUUUACCCGGGAUGAUAAUGACAGUACCGGGAGAAUAAGCUCCGGCUAACUCCGUG